AGCUCUGUAAGCGUAUACCAAAGUUGUUGCAGUUAAAACGCUCGUAGUCGGAUUUUGGUGACUUCGGAUGUGUGCGCGUCGAGCGCGCACUUCGCAGGAGUUGCUUUUGUGGGUUAUAGCAAAGGAUGAGGCACUUUAAUGUGAACGUCCCGCGCUGCCACUCUUUACUGUGAAAAAAAUAAAGUGCUCAAAGCAGGCAAUUGUCGUGAAUAUAUUAGCAUGGAAUAAUAGAAUAGGACUUUGUUCUAUUUUGUUGGUUUGUUGGAUCAAAGUAAUGAUUAAGAGGGACAGUUGGGGGCAUUUGUAUUACGGCGCUAGAGGUGAAAUUCUUAGAUUGCCGUAAGACACACUGCUGCGAAAGCGUCUGCCAAGGAUGUUUUCA
rnacentral:rRNA from 1 species